GACGAACGCUGGCGGCGUGCCUAAUACAUGCAAGUAGAACGCUGAAGAGAGGGGCUUGCUCUUCUUGGAUGAGUUGCGAACGGGUGAGUAACGCGUAGGUAACCUGCCUUGUAGCGGGGGAUAACUAUUGGAAACGAUAGCUAAUACCGCAUAACAAUGGAUGACACAUGUCAUUUAUUUGAAAGGGGCAAUUGCUCCACUACAAGAUGGACCUGCGUUGUAUUAGCUAGUAGGUGAGGUAAUGGCUCACCUAGGCGACGAUACAUAGCCGACCUGAGAGGGUGAUCGGCCACACUGGGACUGAGACACGGCCCAGACUCCUACGGGAGGCAGCAGUAGGGAAUCUUCGGCAAUGGGGGCAACCCUGACCGAGCAACGCCGCGUGAGUGAAGAAGGUUUUCGGAUCGUAAAGCUCUGUUGUAAGUCAAGAACGGGUGUGAGAGUGGAAAGUUCACACUGUGACGGUAGCUUACCAGAAAGAGACGGCUAACUACGUG
rnacentral:rRNA from 1 species